GCCGUCGCACACUUUGCACGCCGCCCAGGGCUACACCACUCACCGAAAAUUGGGAGGUGCUGGAGAAUCUGGUAAAAGCACCAUUGUGAAGCAGAUGAGGAUCCUGCAUGUUAAUGGGUUUAAUGGAGAGGGCGGCGAAGAGGACCCGCAGGCUGCAAGGAGCAACAGCGAUGGUGAGAAGGCAACCAAAGUGCAGGACAUCAAAAACAACCUGAAAGAGGCGAUUGAAACCAUUGUGGCCGCCAUGAGCAACCUGGUGCCCCCCGUGGAGCUGGCCAACCCCGAGAACCAGUUCAGAGUGGACUACAUUCUGAGUGUGAUGAACGUGCCUGACUUUGACUUCCCUCCCGAAUUCUAUGAGCACGCCAAGGCUCUGUGGGAGGAUGAAGGAGUGCGUGCCUGCUACGAACGCUCCAACGAGUACCAGCUGAUUGACUGUGCCCAGUACUUCCUGGACAAGAUCGAUGUGAUCAAGCAGGCUGACUAUGUGCCGAGCGAUCAGGACCUGCUUCGCUGCCGCGUCCUGACUUCUGGAAUCUUUGAGACCAAGUUCCAGGUGGACAAAGUCAACUUCCACAUGUUUGACGUGGGUGGCCAGCGCGACGAACGCCGCAAGUGGAUCCAGUGCUUCAACGAUGUGACUGCCAUCAUCUUCGUGGUGGCCAGCAGCAGCUACAACAUGGUCAUCCGGGAGGACAACCAGACCAACCGCCUGCAGGAGGCUCUGAACCUCUUCAAGAGCAUCUGGAACAACAG
rnacentral:sRNA from 1 species